rnacentral:misc_RNA from 1 species
GUCCAACACAAGUCCAAGCGUAUAUUAUAUUUGUGAUUGAGCUAACAGAUCCCACCAUACCAUUGUUGAUUGCUUGCGAGUAGAGUAAUUGUUUGUUGAAGGAGAAAUGGCAAGGAGAGCAGACGAAGAGUACGAUUACUUGUUCAAAAUUGUGUUAAUCGGAGAUUCUGGAGUUGGAAAAUCCAAUUUACUCUCCAGAUUCACUAGAAAUGAGUUCUGUUUGGAGUCUAAAUCUACUAUCGGCGUUGAAUUUGCUACUCGUACUCUCAAGGUAGAGGGAAGGACCAUUAAGUCUCAGAUCUGGGACACGGCUGGACAGGAGAGAUAUAGAGCCAUUACGAGUGCAUACUAUAGGGGUGCUCUUGGUGCUCUUCUGGUAUAUGAUGUUACAAAACCUAUUUCCUUUGAAAAUGUGAGCCGGUGGUUAAAGGAACUGAGGGAUCAUGCAGACUCCAAUAUUGUAAUUAUGCUGAUUGGAAACAAGACAGAUCUGAAGCAUCUGCGAGCAGUUGCUACAGAGGAUGCUCAAAGCUAUGCUGAAAGAGAAGGGCUUUCUUUCAUAGAAACAUCAGCGUUGGAGGCAACAAAUG